AGCUCCGGUAGACUAGUGGUUAGAGUGCCUGCCUCGGAUGCGGGUGGCCAUUGGUUCGAAACCUGGUUGAGUCU